AACGUAGGUGGCGAGCGUUAUCCGGAUUUACUGGGCGUAAAGCGCAUUCAGGCGGCUUGGCAAGUCGGGCAUGAAAUCUCUCGGCUCAACCGGGAGAGGCUGUUCGAUACUGCUAGGCUUGAGGGCAGUAGAGGAAGGUGGAAUUCCGCGUGUAGUGGUGAAAUGCGUAGAUAUGCGGAGGAACACCAGUGGCGAAAGCGGCCUUCUGGGCUGCUCCUGACGCUCAAAUGCGAAAGCUAGGGUAGCGAACGGG
rnacentral:rRNA from 1 species